AGAGUUUGAUCAUGGCUCAGCCUGAACGCUGGCGGCGUGGCUAAGACAUGCAAGUCGUACGGCGCAGCAAUGCGCAGUGGCGAACGGGUGAGUAAUGAAUCGCUAACGUGCCCCGGACUCUGGGAUAGCCGGCCGAAAGGCCGGGUAAUACCAGACGACGUAACCGCCCCGCAUGGGGCGGUUCCCAAAGGUCCGCCGGUCUGGGAGCGGGCGAUUUCGUAUCAGCUAGUUGGUGGGGUAACGGCCCACCAAGGCGACGACGCGUAGCCGGACUGAGAGGUUGGCCGGCCACAUUGGGACUGAGACACUGCCCAGACUCCUACGGGGGGCUGCAGUAACGGAUCUUCCGCAAUGCACGCAAGUGUGACGGAGCGACGCCGCGUGUGGGACGAAGUCCUUCGGGAUGUAAACCACUGUCAGGGGUAAGAAAGUUCUGAUCUACCCCAGAGGAAGGCACGGCUAACUCUGUGCCAGCAGCCGCGGUAAGACAGAGGUGCCGAGCGUUAGGCGGAAUCACUGGGCUUAAAGCGUGUGUAGGCGGACGAUUAAGUACCUUGUGAAAUCCCACGGCUCAACCGUGGAACUGCUCGGUAUACUGGUCGUCUUGAGCCACUUAGGGGCAGUCGGAACAGGCGGUGGAGCGGUGAAAUGCGUAGAUAUCGCCUGGAACGCCAACGGUGAAAACAGACUGCUGGGAGUGCGCUGACGCUGAGACACGAAAGCUAGGGGAGCGAACGGGAUUAGAUACCCCAGUAGUCC
rnacentral:rRNA from 1 species